GUAUAUUUAAAUAUUUGAUUCAAAAUCAAAAAAUAGUUGUUGUAGUGAGCGUAUGUCCAUAGAAGUCCAUAUAAAGAAUACUAACCACACGAGGCGAGGCGGUGCAGGUCGGGUGCCGGGUGGUUUUAAUGAGUUGUGACC